CCUACGGGAGGCAGCAGUGGGGGAUAUUGCACAAUGGGGGAAACCCUGAUGCAGCGACACCGCGUGGGUGAAGAAGCGCUUCGGCGUGUAAAGCCCUAUCAGUGGGGAAGAAAAAGGACGGUACCCAAAGAAGAAGCACCGGCUAAAUACGUGCCAGCAGCCGCGGUAAUACGUAUGGUGCAAGCGUUAUCCGGAUUUAUUGGGUUUACAGGGUGCGUAGGCGGAUCGUUAAGUCAGUGGUCAAAUUGAGGGGCUCAAACCCUUCCCGCCAUUGAAACUGGCGCUCUUGAGUGGAAGAGAAGUAUGCGGAAUGCGUGGUGUAGCGGUGAAAUGCAUAGAUAUCACGCAGAACCCCGAUUGCGAAGGCAGCAUGCCGGCUUCCGACUGACGCUGAAGCACGAAAGCGGGGGGAUCGAACAGGAUUAGAUACCCCAGUAGUC
rnacentral:rRNA from 1 species